rnacentral:rRNA from 1 species
UUGCGACGCCCAACACACAAAACAAGCGGUGAGUGCUUUGGGGUGGGGUGACUGCGUACCUUUUGUAUAAUGGGUCAGCGACUUAUAUUCUGUAGCAAGGUUAACCGAAUAGGGGAGCCGGAGGGAAACCGAGUCUUAAUUGGGCGUUAAGUUGCAGGGUAUAGACCCGAAACCCGGUGAUCUAGCCAUGGGCAGGUUGAAGGUUGGGUAACACUAACUGGAGGACCGAACCGACUAAUGUUGAAAAAUUAGCGGAUGACCUGUGGCUGGGGGUGAAAGGCCAAUCAAACCGGGAGAUAGCUGGUUCUCCCCGAAAGCUAUUUAGGUAGCGCCUCGUGAAUUCAUCUCCGGGGGUAGAGCACUGUUUCGGCUAGGGGGCCAUCCCGGCUUACCAACCCGAUGCAAACUGCGAAUACCGGAGAAUGUUAUCACGGGAGACACACGGCGGGUGCUAACGUCCGUCGUGAAGAGGGAAACAACCCAGACCGCCAGCUAAGGUCCCAAAGUCAUGGUUAAGUGGGAAACGAUGUGGGAAGGCCCAGACAGCCAGGAUGUUGGCUUAGAAGCAGCCAUCAUUUAAAGAAAGCGUAAUAGCUCACUGGUCGAGUCGGCCUGCGCGGAAGAUGUAACGGGGCUAAACCAUG